UACGGGGGGAGCAAACGUUGUUCGGAAUCACUGGGCGUAAAGGGAGCGUAGGCGGCCAUGUAAGUGAGGUGUUAAAUCCCCCGGCUCAACUGGGGAGGGUCACGCGAUACUGAUCGACUCGAAGGCAGGAGAGGGUAGUGGAAUUCCCGGUGUAGUGGUGAAAUGCGUAGAUAUCGGGAGGAACACCAGUGGCGAAGGCGACUACCUGGCCUGUUCUUGACGCUGAGGCGCGAAAGCUAGGGGAGCAAACGGG
rnacentral:rRNA from 1 species